AACGCUGGCGGCGUGCCUAAUACAUGCAAGUUGAACGCAACAAAGACACCAGAGCUUGCUCUACCGUUUUUGUUGAGUAGCGAACGGGUGAGUAACGCGUGGGUAACCUGCCUUAUAGCGGGGGAUAACUAUUGGAAACGAUAGCUAAUACCGCAUAACAAUAGAGAUUGCAUAAUCUUUAUUUGAAAGUGCCAACUGGUACACUAUGAGAUGGACCCGCGUUGUAUUAGCUAGUUGGUAGUGUAAUGGACUACCAAGGCGAUGAUACAUAGCCGACCUGAGAGGGUGAUCGGCCACAUUGGGACUGAGACACGGCCCAAACUCCUACGGGAGGCAGCAGUAGGGAAUCUUCGGCAAUGGACGAAAGUCUGACCGAGCAGCGCCGCGUGAGUGAAGAAGGUUUUCGGAUCGUAAAACUCUGUUGUUAGAGAAGAAUGUUGAUUAGAGUGGAAAAUUAAUCAAGUGACGGUAUCUAACCAGAAAGGGACGGCUAACUACGUG
rnacentral:rRNA from 1 species